rnacentral:rRNA from 1 species
GUUGGUGAGGUAACGGCCCACCAAGGCGACGAUCAGUAGCCGGCCUGAGAGGGUGACCGGCCACAUUGGGACUGAGACACGGCCCAAACUCCUACGGGAGGCAGCAGUGGGGAAUAUUGCACAAUGGGGGAAACCCUGAUGCAGCAACGCCGCGUGAGUGAAGAAGUAUUUCGGUAUGUAAAGCUCUAUCAGCAGGAAAGAAAAUGACGGUACCUGACUAAGAAGCCCCGGCUAACUACGUGCCAGCAGCCGCGGUAAUACGUAGGGGGCAAGCGUUAUCCGGAUUUACUGGGUGUAAAGGGAGCGUAGACGGUUUUGCAAGUCUGAAGUGAAAGCCCGGGGCUUAACCCCGGGACUGCUUUGGAAACUGUAGAACUAGAGUGCAGGAGAGGUAAGUGGAAUUCCUAGUGUAGCGGUGAAAUGCGUAGAUAUUAGGAGGAACACCAGUGGCGAAGGCGGCUUACUGGACUGUAACUGACGUUGAGGCUCGAAAGCGUGGGGAGCAAACAGGACUAGAUACCCUGGUAGUCCACGCCGUAAACGAUGAAUAGUAGGUGUUGGUGGGUAUGACCCAUCGGUGCCGCAG